GGCUGAUUCAAAAUUACCUGAUAAUCAGGCCGGUCACGAAAAAGGAACUACAGUUACUCUUGCUGCCCAAGCUGGUGCAAAUAUAGUUUUCGAAUC
rnacentral:ncRNA from 1 species